GAAAGGGAGGCUGGUGGCCAGGCUGGGACCCUGGGUGCAGAGACGUGAUUAGUUGAUGGCUCUGAAGGUGAGGAGGGGGAACAUGCUGGGCCUCAAUAUGAAGCUGUAGACCAUCUUUAUGUCCUCUUGAGUUAGUGUCUCCACCAGGAAGUGCUUCAGCACCUAGGACAGAGGCUGGGUUUCCAUCUGGCCUGGUCAGUAGCCCAUGGACCUGGGGCAGCUUCCUCCCAUCGUCCCAGGUGCAACAAUUAUGCUGAAGGGGGAGCAGCAGCCUGGGCCCCAACCUAUCCCACUUCUGACCAGCCCCACCUUACGGACCAGGCCCAGACUGAAUCCUGCCCAGGUCUUGCCCAAGCCCCAUUAUUCUGUACAGGCUCCACCCCACUCCCCUAGUCCCCAUUUCAAUGUUUAGAAGCAGCCUCACCCAGAUCCUACCCUGUCUUGCUCAGCACAGAUCCUCCCUGGUCACGCCGACCUCAACCAACCAAGGCCCCAUCCACUGUUCCCAGGUGUCAAUCACACCAUGCAAGCCCCG
rnacentral:lncRNA from 1 species